rnacentral:rRNA from 1 species
ACUCCUACGGGAGGCAGCAGUGGGGAAUAUUGCACAAUGGGCGCAAGCCUGAUGCAGCCAUGCCGCGUGUGUGAAGAAGGCCUUCGGGUUGUAAAGCACUUUCAGUAGGGAGGAAGGUAGUGUAGUUAACACCUGCAUUAUUUGACGUUACCUACAGAAGAAGCACCGGCUAACUCCGUGCCAGCAGCCGCGGUAAUACGGAGGGUGCGAGCGUUAAUCGGAAUUACUGGGCGUAAAGCGCAUGCAGGCGGUUUGUUAAGUCAGAUGUGAAAGCCCGGGGCUCAACCUCGGAAUUGCAUUUGAAACUGGCAGACUAGAGUACUGUAGAGGGGGGUAGAAUUUCAGGUGUAGCGGUGAAAUGCGUAGAGAUCUGAAGGAAUACCGGUGGCGAAGGCGGCCCCCUGGACAGAUACUGACACUCAGAUGCGAAAGCGUGGGGAAGCAAACAGGAUUAGAUACCCUGGUAGGAUAGCG